rnacentral:rRNA from 1 species
GAAAUAGUACCUGAAACCGUUUGCUUACAAACCGUUGGAGCAGCCUUAGUAGCUGUGACAGCGUGCCUUUUGAAGAAUGAGCCUGCGAGUUAGUGAUCAGUGGCGAGGUUAACCCGUGUGGGGCAGCCGUAGCGAAAGCGAGUCUUAAUAGGGCGUUUUAGUCGCUGGUUCUAGACCCGAAGCGAAGUGAUCUAUCCAUGGCCAGGUUGAAGCGUGUGUAAGAGCACGUGGAGGACCGAACCCACUUAGGUUGAAAACUGAGGGGAUGAGCUGUGGAUAGGGGUGAAAGGCCAAUCAAACUUCGUGAUAGCUGGUUCUCUCCGAAAUGCAUUUAGGUGCAGCGUUGCGUGUUUCUUGCCGGAGGUAGAGCUACUGGAUAGCUGAUGGGCCCUAAAAGGUUACUGACGUUAGCCAAACUCCGAAUGCCGGUAAGUGAGAGCGCAGCAGUGAGACGGUGGGGGAUAAGCUUCAUCGUCGAGAGGGUAACAGCCCAGACUACCAACNAGCCACCCUUGAAAGAGUGCGUAAUAGCUCACUGGUCAAGUGAUUCCGCGCCGACAAUGUAACGGGGCUCAAGCACACCACCGAAGUUGUAGAUUUCGUAUUUUAGGUAAGCCUUCGUGGUUCAGCCGUACGGAGUGGUAGGAGAGCGUCGUGUGGGCAGUGAAGCGGCGGUGUAAACCAGCCGUGGAGCCUACACGAGUGAGAAUGCAGGCAUGAGUAGCGAAAGACGGGCGAGAAACCCGUCCUCCGAAUGAUCAAGGGUUCCAGGGCCAGGCUAAUCCGCCCUGGGUAAGUCGGGACCUAAGGCGAGGCCGACAGGCGUAGUCGAUGGACAACGGGUUGAUAUUCCCGUACUGACGAAGAACCGCCCAAACUAAUCCAGUGAUGCUAAGAGUCUGAAUCCUCUAGAUGGAUCCCUUCGGGGUGAAGCGUGAGGCCUAGCACUCGACCCUAUGCUGGUGCGGUUAGCGUAUUAACAGGUGUGACGCAGGAAGGUAGCUGAGCCGGGCGAUGGUUGUCCCGGUCUAAGAAUGUAGGCCGAGAGAUAGGCAAAUCCGUCUCUCAUUACGGCUGAGACUCGAUGGGUAGUCCUCACGGACGAAAUCAGUGAUCCUAUGCUGCCAAGAAAAGCAUCGACGCGAGGUUCAAGUUACCCGUACCCCAAACCGACUCAGGUGAUCAGGUAGAGAAUACUAAGGAGAUCGAGAGAAUCGUGGUUAAGGAACUCGGCAAAAUGCCCCCGUAACUUCGGGAUAAGGGGGGCCUAAGGCGUGAACGGAUUUACUCCGGGAGCGCUGCAGGGCCGCAGAGACCAGUGGGAAGCGACUGUUUACUAAAAACACAGGUCCGUGCUAAGUCGCAAGACGAUGUAUACGGACUGACGCCUGCCCGGUGCUGGAAGGUUAAGAGGAACGGUUAGCCGUAAGGCGAAGCUGUGAAUUUAAGCCCCAGUAAACGGCGGUGGUAACUAUAACCAUCCUAAGGUAGCGAAAUUCCUUGUCGGGUAAGUUCCGACCUGCACGAAUGGCGUAACGACUUCCCAGCUGUCUCAACCGCGAACUCGGCGAAAUUGCACUACGAGUAAAGAUGCUCGUUACGCGCAGAAGGACGGAAAGACCCCGUGACCUUUACUAUAGCUUUGUAUUGGUGUUCGGUGUGGCCUGUGUAGGAUAGG